rnacentral:misc_RNA from 1 species
AAACCAUCAACCCCUCCGUCGUCGACGGUUGGGAUUGGACUUGGACGCUUUUGCCGUGAUUUGUUUUGCGGCUCGUCUCAAAUGCAUUAGUCGACUCUGCUGGUCCGCCUUUUGACGUGAUAGACAUCAACGUCGAGGCGUUUCGGCUUGUGAGCGGCUCACAACCGUCUUAGGACAAAACAUUUUCACA